GUUCAUCUUCCUGAUAUAUGGGGUGUACAACACAGAGGUUCGGAGCACGGUCAACAGGAUCAAGGAGAGGAGAAAAGCACUUAAUUUUUCAAACUGUGCGAGUUCCCGACCAUCCAGCUCGGUCACCAGCUCUCGUCCUGUCAGUUUCCCACUUGGAACAACCCCAAGUCAGGAGGAGGAGACCACCCCUACCUACACUU